rnacentral:lncRNA from 1 species
AUUUUCUCUGAAACUUCCUCCCUGUCCAGUGUUAUCUACCUUGGAACGAUUGUCUCAUUUAGAGGGACUCUCUAACCUGAGUACACAUUUGAAACAUCUGAGGGCUUUGAAACAUACCUGCUCCUGGACCACCUGCUGAACCAAUUAAAUCAGAAUUUCUGUUGUGAAGAUCUCCACGUGAGUUUAAGCUUUCCUGCUCAACUGUUAGUUCCAUGAAGGCAACAGCCAUGCCUGCUUCGUUCACUGAAAUAUCUUCGUUUCCUAACACACAGAAAGUCAUCAUUUUUUGACGGAUGAAAGAAUGGAUGAAUGCCUAGUCUUGGAGACAUCUACUUGCAAUAAAGGUUAGAUGAAGGAAAUGGAUGCCAGUGGGAGAUUUGUGGAUCUAUUUCACCAGAUUUCACUCUGCUGACUCAGCAAAAUGGUCCCCGAAGAAAGUGAAGAAACAGAGGCAAAGGGAGCAUAAGCAAUUUUCCAAAGGCCAUACAACAUGUAAGUGGCUGAGCCAAGACUGAAAUCACCAGGUUCUUAACCACUAGGCCAUAUUGCAUUGGAGUGUUGCCUCCUGGAGUAAGACUAGGCUAAAAGCUUCAUAGAAACCU